rnacentral:rRNA from 1 species
GUCCCAGUUCGGAUCGCAGGCUGCAACUCGCCUGCGUCAAGUUGGAAUUGCUAGUAAUCGCGGAUCAGCAUGACCGCGGUGAAUACGUUCCCGGGCCUUGUACACACCGCCCGUCACACCAUGAGAGUCGGGAACACCCGAAGUCCGUAGUCUAACCGCAAGGAGGGCGCGGCCGAAGGUGGGUUCGAUAAUUGGGGUGAAGUCGUAACAAGGUAAC